CACUGCUCUCUCUCCUAAACUAAGAUGGAAUGGAUUUCUUUAAUAUUCAAGACUGUGAGCUAAGAUCAUCAGUGAAGACUCAGGAGUUCAAGCUUCCUGGAGUGGAUUCUUCAGAUUUACAGACAACUAUUUUCUCCAAAAAAGUUGCACCAAGCAAAAAAUUACCUCAAUACACAUAAUGGCAAGUAAGUAGAAUUUUUCCAUGUGUUCCCAUGGAGGGGAGGGCUAGCUCAGUGUUUUGAGCAUUGGCCUGCUAAAGCAAGGGUUGUGAGCCUAAUCCUUAAGGGAACCAUUUAUGGAUCAUGGGACAAAAAAA